AUGCUUUUUGAGUUGGCAAUUGCUUAAGACUGUUUAAGGAAGUAUCUCCUUUGUAGGGCUGGGCAGCUGCCGAGCAUUCUGAUUCCCACAGCAGCCAGACAGAUGUCUCUGGGCAUUCACAAGCAGGACAAGAAGGAAGAAAAGAGCCAAAACUAAAACAAGACCUGUAACUGGAUUCACAUAUUCCAAGACAGAACACAGAAGAACCCAAUAAUAUACUGGGGGGCGGGUGCAAUUGGCUCCACCUCUCACUAUCUCUGGCUCUGCACAUCGCCUGCCCUGCCUAGCACCUUCCCAGUCUCGGGAGCCACCAGCCGCCACUGCCCUACCAUGGAAAUGAAGGCACAGAGAAGGAUUCCUACCAGCAAAACCACACAAGACACAUAAACACUGUAAUGUGUUUACAUUUUGAUACUUGAAACACCAAUAUGCUCAUGAGAUCUGGUUCAGCAACAUCCGAUUAAGCCUAAGUGAAA